rnacentral:rRNA from 1 species
UACAGAGGUCUCAAGCGUUGUCCGGAAUUAUUGGGCGUAAAGAGCUCGUAGGCGGUCUGUCGCGUCGGUCGUGAAAACUUGGGGCUUAACCCUGAGCUUGCGGUCGAUACGGGCAUGACUGGAGUUCGGUAGGGGAGACUGGAAUUCCUGGUGUAGCGGUGAAAUGCGCAGAUAUCAGGAGGAACACCGGUGGCGAAGGCGGGUCUCUGGGCCGAUACUGACGCUGAGGAGCGAAAGCGUGGGGAGCGAACAGG